rnacentral:rRNA from 1 species
CCUACGGGUGGCAGCAGUGAGGAAUAUUGGUCAAUGGGCGAGAGCCUGAACCAGCCACGUCGCGUGAGGGAGUACUGCCCUAUGGGUUGUAAACCUCUUUUGGCGGGGAGAAAAAGCCGGCCGUAUCCGGCUGUGAGAGUACCCGAAGCAAAAGCAUCGGCUAACUCCGUGCCAGCAGCCGCGGUAAUACGGGGGAUGCGAGCGUUCUCCGGAUUUCUGGGGGUAAAUGGGUGCGCAGGCGGUUUUUUAAGUCAGCGGUCAAAUCGUGGGGCUAAACCCCAUCCAGCCGUUGAAACUGGGGAUCUAGAGUGUGCGAGAGGUAUGCGGAAUGCGUGGUGUAGCGGUGAAAUGCAUAGAUAUCACGCAGAACACCGAUUGCGAAGGCAGCAUACCGGUGCACAACUGACGCUCAGGCACGAAAGCGUGGGUAUCGAACAGGAUUAGAUACCCGGGUAGUC